UGGGGAAUAUUGGACAAUGGGCGCAAGCCUGAUCCAGCAAUGCCGCGUGAGUGAAGAAGGCCUUAGGGUUGUAAAGCUCUUUCGCCCGCGACGAUGAUGACGGUAGCGGGAGAAGAAGCCCCGGCUAAUUCCGUGCCAGCAGCCGCGGUAAUACGUAGGGGGCAAGCGUUGUCCGGAUUUACUGGGCGUAAAGAGCGUGUAGGCGGCCACGCAGGUCUGUUGUGAAAACUGGAGGCUCAACUUCCAGACGUCGACAGAAACCGCGUGGCUAGAGUCCGGAAGAGGAGAGUGGAAUUCCUGGUGUAGCGGUGAAAUGCGCAGAUAUCAGGAAGAACACCGAUGGCGAAGGCAGCUCUCUGGGACGGUACUGACGCUGAGACGCGAAAGCGUGGGGAGCGAACAGGAUUAGAUACCCUGGUAGUCCACGCCGUAAACGAUGGGUGCUAGGUGUGGGAGGUGUCGACUCCUCCCGUGCCGCAGCUAACG
rnacentral:rRNA from 1 species